UCCUCAGUAGCUCAGUGGUAGAGCAAUCGACUGUUAAUCGAUUGGCCGUAGGUUCAAGUCCUACCUGGGGAG
rnacentral:tRNA from 1 species